UACGUAGGUGGCGAGCGUUGUCCGGAUUUACUGGGCGUAAAGCGCGCGCAGGCGGUCCGGUAAGUCUCCGGUGAAAUCGCCCGGCUCAACUGGGCGGGUGCCGGGGAGACUGGCGGACUUGAGGAGCCUAGAGGCCGGUGGAACUCCCGGUGUAGUGGUGAAAUGCGUAGAGAUCGGGAAGAACACCAAUGGCGAAGGCAGCUUCUUGGCUCAUUCCUGACGUUGAGGCACGAAAGCGUGGGGAGCAAACAGG
rnacentral:rRNA from 1 species